CAAACUGGUGUCAGAGAGAAUGAUAGCUAGAUUGAAAAACACAAAAUAUGUUCAUAUUUGUUUGAGUGCUUUCGGACGUAAAGUUUUGGCAUCAUGUUCAUAAUUUUUUUACGUGGUUAGCAAAUAUGGGCUUUUAAAACAAAGUCUGAGCUUGUAUGUCACACCCUCCAUUUUGUCUGUUUCCCCACCCUCCAUUUUGUGGUAGGAUCAUGUGGAGUCACUUAUUAAGCUUUAAGUGGAAUGAACAGCUCCCAGAGGUGAGUGGGCUCACCAACAAGUCCUCUAGCCACCUCUAUUCUGCACUGUCUUUUAAAACAAGCAUCUGGUCAGUAUAUAAAGAUCUGUUCAGAAAUUUAAGGACUCACAGUCACAAAGGUUUGUAUGCGUGUGUCCAAGUUUGGGGGGAAAAGUAUGAGGGGCCCAGUAACCCAAAUAUAAUGUUGAAUAUACAGGACUCUUGUGAUGUGAACUGCAUCUACAUCAUACUCAUUACCUGGAAAGUCAGUUACUGACUGAUAAUUAUUCCUAUUUAACUGGCUGAAAUAAUUUGAACAACUUGUAUGAUCAACUGAUAAAUCCGUGAAGAGUCUUCUCUUGAUCCAGCGUUGGUCAUCAUGCUACUCACCAUCAGGUUCCAUCUUCCAUCCCACAUUCCAUCCUUUCUGUACUCACCGCCAUUCUCCGUCCUUGGCUCUGGAGCACCCUCAAGCAGCACAUCAUGGUUUGCAGGCUCCAUGGAUACUUCCAAACCAUUUUGUACUGUUAGUGGGGACCCUGGGAAUCCCACACAACUGACCCUUGGCGUGCAGCACCUUCGGCUGUCCUGGCCUGCUCUUCCUGCAGCAGGCUCACUGCUCUCCAGUAGGGCAUCUGAUGGAAUACUAACUCAUAUUGUUGGGCUAAAUGAAAAUUAGGACAGGGAGGUUGUUUCUUGGACAAGAUAAAUAGAAAAAAGCUGCCUUCAUUUUGUCCAGUUUCUUAUUUUUCUUAUUUUUACACAGUAGUAAGGAUUCAAACAAAUGUUUGAUUUGACUAAAUUAAAUAGAGUAUUUACCAAUCAAAAUCAAAUAAUACUUUAAAAAAAUGUGAGUACUGAUUAUUACAAAUGUUCAGAGAAUUAAAAUGUGGUUACAGCACUUCAGUAUUGGAGUGCUGUUUUAUUUGUAAUCAUUGCCUGACUACCUUGGGAGAAUAACUAAUGCCUAACUUUUAGAAAAUGAUCAAAUUCAAUUAACUUUGACCCUUGUCUGCCUCUGGGUUUAUGUGUUUUGGACAAAUGGAAAGCAAAACCCAUGGUUUGCCCAGAAGAGUACAACAUUAGUCUCAGGCUCUGUCUCCAUAGCAGCAACUUGUUCGACUGUGUGCCUGGCCGAAGCAGCACAUCAAUAUUGGUAGCUGCCCCCUUUCUGGGCUGCCAGUAUGGCUUGUGCUGCUCCAGUAAGGCCCACACAUUCAUUGCUGAAAGACAUGUCUGCCAAAGUAACAGAAUUGUUCAGUUAGUUUGUGCAAUACUAUGUAACAUUGUACCACAGAGGAACAUAUCAUCCUUCAUUAAUUUUCCGAUGCCAAUGUAUAUGUAGAAUAGAUUUGCAAAUGCUUUUACUGUUUUUAUUUGAUGAAGCAAUUAAAUUCCAUUAUACAUUUUCCCAUGUAUUCCAGGUUUGCAUUUUGUCCCCAAAUAUCACACUGUUGUGUGCACCCCUCGUAGAAUCCUUGUGUAUAUUUCUGAUGUAGGCUAUGGAAGUGUGUGCAAACAGAACCAUUUAAUGUUGAGAUUAACCAUAGGGGAUUUUAAAUGCAUGAUUACACAGAAACAAAUAUUUAAAUAUGCAUGAAUACAUUUGUAAAUUAGUCGCAGCACUGAUACAAUACAAAAAAUCAAAUUAAAAAAGUUCAAAUUUGCAGUGCAGGUAUGUGUGUGAGAGAGGGAGAAUAGUAGUGUAUUUGGCUUACAACUAUCUAAUGAGGGCUUUUAUUAGUAUUAUAAAAACUUUUUAUUACUUUAGUUUCUGAAUGGGUUGAAAUUCCUGUAUCUACUCAUAGAUGCAUAGUUCGUGUUUCUUGAAAGUUCUCAUUUAAAAUGGAUAAAUUCUGAACUAGUACAACUUAAUUGUUAUACAUAGAUCGUGCCCUGAUCUAUGUCUAGCAUCCUGGAUCCAAAUCCAUCAGUGCUUGGUUUGGAGGAUAAAAGCUCAUUCUGAAACAUUAGUUUUCAGGUGUAUUUGUUCUUUUUUAUUUGUUGUAUAAACGGAAAUGUGUAGAUGCCUAUAGUAACAGAAAUGGCUUUAUUAUGGCUCAUUAUGGUUUGUGGGUUGUGAACCUACAAUGAAUGCAUGUCCUCCAUAAAAGUAAACGUCAAAUAUUUAGGUAAAACUGGAAGUUGUUAUGGAUGUUGUAAUGGAUUUUUGUAACAAUGUUCAAACAAUGAACUGCAGUCGGCUGAGUCAGAUUCCCAAGUACUGCUCUGUAUAUUUUCCUUUCACUGGAAAGUUUACAGAUUACUGUAAUGAAGUGAAACUACCACAGCUAUGAAAAAAUGGUUCAAAUGAGGGUCACACCUGCAGGAUUGAAAUCCACCUGACAAGACCUUUGUGAGCUACAUAUCUUGGGGCUCUUGUCUAGGAACUAAGUAAACUCAGGAUUGAAGCAACACAUACACUGUGUUGCCCUAUGAAUGGACUGUCCACCAUUUUCUUUCUUUUUUUACCAUGCUUGAUCAGCAGCUGAGCAAAUUAAGUCUAGUUCAAUCGACAGAAUAUGCUGUGGUUUGGUUUGAAAAUAACAAUAAUAAUAAUAAUAAUACUCUGCAAUGUAUUUUCCCUCAUUUUACUGUGACCUAUUGACCGCAAGCCAAGACAGCAUGUCUGCAACUGAUUUCAAGUUUUGUUUCAGCAUGACAAUGUCCCAGGGCACACAGCGAAAGCCUGGACUUCAGCCUCAUCCAACACCUUUGGGAUCAACUGGAAAGCCCACUGCAUGCUGAAUGGACGCAAAUCCCUGCAGCAAUGCUCCAACAUCUUGUUAUAGCGGAAAAGGGUGGACCAACUCAAUAUUAAUGGCCAUAAUUUUGGAUGAGAUGUUGGAUGUAAGGUGUCCACAUAAUUUUGGCUAUGUAUUGUAAGUGUGUGUAUGUAUAUAUAUAUAUAUAUAUACACAUACACAGAGGUCACUUUAUUAGGUACACAUGCUUAUUAACGCAAAUAGCUUGCUCCUCCAAGCAGCAAAUCGAGGCUGCAACUCAAGUGUGCAGACAUUGUGAAUAGGUUCAGUUUUUUGUUCGACCAAAAAUAAUGGGCAAGAUGCAUGAGCUAAGCAACAUUGACUGUUGUAUUGUCUGUCAGAUGUGGUGGUUCUACCAUUUCAGAAACAACUGCCCUCCUGGGAUUUUUACGCACUACAAUCUCUACAGUUUACAGUGAACGGUGCAAUAAACAAAAACAACCAGUGAGCGGAAGUUCUGCGGGAAAAAAAGCACCUUGUUAAUGAGAGAGGUCAGAAAAUGGCCAGACUUCAAACUAGCAAAAAGGCCAAAAAUGCCAAAAUAACUGCUUUUUUACUACAGUGGUGUGCUGCAGGGCAUCUCUGAGCGCACUGUAUGGCAAAUCUUAUGGGCUACAGCAGCCGAUGACAUCACCAGAUUCCUCUCCUUUUAGCUGAAAACAGGAAGACAAGGCCACAGUGGGCAAACGAUCACCGAAACCGGAUGACUGAAGAAUGGAAAAGCAUCACCUGGUCUGAUGAAUCUUGAUUUCUGCUGCAACAUGCAGAUGGCAGGGUCAGAAUUUGACAUAAAUAUCAUGAAUCCAUGGAUCCAUCCUGCCUUGGGUCAGUGGUGCAGGCUGGUGAUGGUGGUGUAUUGGUGUGGGGAAUGUCUCCUUGGCACACAAUAGGCCCCUUAAUAUUAAUUUGAAUGGCACAUAACUAAGCAUCGUUGCUGAACAUUGUGCAUCCCUUUAUGGCUGCAAUGUACCCUUUUCCAAAUGGAUACUUCUUGCAGGAUAAUAAGCCAUGUUUAAAAAGUGUACAUCAUCUCAAGCUGGAUCCACAAACAUGUCAGUGACUUCUGUUUACUCCAAUAGCCAGUACUGUCCCCAGAUCUCAAUCUAACAGAGCACAUUCUGGAUGAGGUGGAACACGAAAUUUGAAUGUUUUGCCUUUUUGCAUACAUUGUCCUCUUUUUAUUAGUUUUACCUGUGGUUCUUACACAGGUAAAACUAAUGAACUGUUGCUCAUUUUUUGUAGUUUAAUGUUCAUUUGCUGGAAUUUUCUUCUUGUUAUGCAACUUAAGUUUGAUAUUUCAUGCUCAUUUGCAGAAGUUUUGUUUGUGCAACAUAUUUAAUAGGGUGGCUGUCAAAUUGUCAUUCAAGUCUGCACUUCUUAAAAUUGCCAGAAGAGUCUCUUCCGGGAAUACACUUCCCCCCUCUGAGGAAUUUCUGCACUUCAAUCCCUUCGCGCUAAUGUUCACAUUGAAAUUCAUUCUGGAUAAGAGACUGCUAAAUGGCAGUAAAGUCAAAUCUAUGGUGAACACAUUUAAUAUAAAUAAAAUUAAACCAGUAAAAAAAAUUGUUUAAACAACUAAUGCAUGAAUGAAUGUUUAAAUGUUUAAACUAAAACAUACAAAAACGACUCCCAAAUUUCCCUGAUGAAAAAAUAACAUCCUCCAUCAAAUUCAUAGCGUGCUACAUCAGCCAGGGAACAAGGGUCUCCUUUGGCAGGGACUCUAGUGAACUGGGUGUCUGAACCAUGCUUGCACCAACUGUGCAUGCACUGUACUCUUCCAACCCAAAGACAGCAGCGAGAUUUCAGUUAUAUCAAGUAUUGACUGGCUUUUCAGUGUACAGCAAGUGCUUGUCAGUUCUUACAAAACUGACUGAGAACAUUGUAGUAGUGGCAAUUCUGUGAAUACGAAUGGGGAUUGCAAGUUUGAAAAAGUUCACAAAACACUAACCAACACUUCAAAAAAAAAGCAGUUACUUGUAAAAUGUAGUGUUUGUUCUAUAAAAUUUUACAAUGUUUUGCUAAAAUCCAGAUUACAUUUAAAUGGAAAAAUUCAUUAUUUAAUAUGCAUAAAUCUCAGAAUUAGUUCAAAAGUACUGGCAUUGAAGGAAAACAGAACUUCAGUUUUGAAUAUAAACUAAGUAUGAUAAUACUGUUCUGUACCUAUACUGUUCUGUACCUACAUGAAGAGAGUAAUUGGGUGGUACCUACAUAGCAAGAGCACAAAGGCUUUCAUUGGUUCUGAGGCUCAUGAACUCAUUGCAGUUUUUAUUACUCUGGAAGAAAGCCCCUUUAUAAAACAUGUACAGCAUUAUAGUUUUGGAAUGUUUUCAAAAUGACAGAAUUUGAGCGAACGAUUUACAAAAAAUGUACCUAUUGACUGGUGCUGAGUCUGUCAUUAGUAUAGUGCAUUGGGAUGUUUACUUUAAAUACAUACACACAACCAUCCCUUUUGUUUGUAUGCACAAAACUAGUUUGUAAUUCUACCCAUUUGUAUUCCAGGUCAUCAGUUGACAAAUGAAUGAUAGAUGUGACCCCUAUACAUGCUAAACAUUUAUUUUCCAACUAAAAAGAAGCUGCCUCAUACAUAUGUAAAUGAAUCAGUAUGCAUAUGUAAUGUGUUGCCAUCUGUAUGUAGGUGUGUUUGUGUGUGUGUGUGUGUGUACACGCAUACAUGCACAUACCGAACGACACCAAACAGGGUAAAUAAAAAAAAGACAAUGAGAGGAUACAACUGAUCUGAAUCCACGUUGCACAAUGGUAAGGGGAAAAAUGUUUGUGAGUGGAAUAUUGCUUGGAUAAUCUCCAUUAAUUGCCUAAAUUGUGGAGCUACAGCAUAAAUUUUCUGUCCUGUUACUAUCAGUCAGUCCACCAAACAA